GAAAAAGCUGAGCUUUCAGUGUCUUGUGUUAAACCCCACCUUGUCACCUUUAGCUCUGACAAAUUCACUGGAGCACAAGCUUAUAGUCAGAAAGCCUGGGGGGAAUCACCUUCCCAUUAGCUCGUGUUCAUUAAUGGAUGUUUCUUACCCCAGGCAAUUUUGAGUCUAAUCAAAUUGCCCUCUUCAAAUUAACUGUCUUGUUCAAGGCUUGAUCUGGGAGGUAAAAGAACAACUCCUCUCUUUAUCAGGGAGAAUGUGGGAGAGUAUUUGGCACAGCAUGAGCCCAUGUUAACUCAAGGCUUCUCUCACUGGACCUCUACUGGGUGAUCUGUGGGAAGUCACAAGGGGCUGCUGUAUAUUUGACUGAUGCCUGUCCAGCUGGGAGUAGGGUAAAGCUGAAGUCAAAAGCUAAAGGGUACCAGCACAGUCUUUCCUUUGCAGACAUUUUAAUCUGUGCUGGUCUCUGGACUCUCAGGGAAACCAUUCCUGAGCUCACUGAAGAAACUAAGAGAACCCUACUGCAAGGACUGUACUGAAGACUAUUUUUUCUGUUUGAGCUGGGCUCCAAGUGCUCGACUGCAGAUGCCAGCAUUUGCACAAGCUGCCCAGCUGCUUUUGGACGUGUGUGCUCUUUAUGUGCAGGCGCCAGCUAGUUGCUACAGUAGGAUUUAGCCAGGCAGGGUCUGUUGGGGAAGAGCUUCCCUCUGCUAUAGAGAUGAGGCAACAUCUGUUUUGGUACUAGGAAAAGCUUUGUAACCCUGAGACCUGCCUUUGGACAAGAAAAAACACAAUCUCCCCUGGAAAAGAGAAGAAAUUGGUGGUUAUUAACAUGAUAGAUGCCUGCAGUCCCAGGGCUGGGUUGUUCAUAGUCUCUGCCCUCAUUGAAGUAGCAGCUCUGCUACAAAACUGAAGUACAGAAAGCAAGGAAUCCCUCCUCCUGCACUAGCAAAUUCGAUUUUUGUCGACAAAAUGGCCUCUCUUCUUCCUCACUCUCCCAGUCUCCCUGUGUGGUAGGAUGAGAAGAUCCAAUAAUGAGGGUAGGCUUUAUUGGAAAUAAGGCUUGGCUGGGCAAAACCAGAGGCAGUUUUAUGCAUUGGGCCGGGGAAUCCAGCACUACUGUGGUCUGACCACAGCGACAUUCCCAGGCUGUCCGAACGCAAGUGG
rnacentral:lncRNA from 1 species